rnacentral:rRNA from 1 species
GAUGAAUGCUGGCGGCGCGCCUAACACAUGCAAGUCGAGCGGUAACAUGGACUUCGGUCUGAUGACGAGCGGCGGACGGCUGAGUAACGCGUGGGAACAUGCCCCAAAGUGAGGAAUAACUGCCCGAAAGGGUGGCUAAUGCCGCAUAUGAUCUUCGGAUUAAAGGAUUUAUCCGCUUUGGGAGUGGCCUGCGUACGAUUAGGUAGUUGGUGAGGUAAUGGCUCACCAAGCCUACGAUCGCUAACUGGUCUGAGAGGAUGAUCAGUCAGACUGGAACUGAGACACGGUCCAGACUCCUACGGGAGGCAGCAGUGAGGAAUCUUCCACAAUGGGCGAAAGCCUGAUGGAGCGACGCCGCGUGCAGGAUGAAGGCCUUCGGGUUGUAAACUGCUUUUAUAAGUGAAGGAUAUGACGGUAACUUAUGAAUAAGCACCGGCUAACUACGUGCCAGCAGCCGCCGUAA